CGCAACUCCAAGAUAGUGUUAGUGACACCUUAAGUUAAAAAUAGGACUAGUCAAUACUCCUGCAUAGCACCCUUCUGAGAUCAGAUUUCUGAUCUGCAUUUAGCCUUGAUGGAAAUUUAAUGUCAAACUUGAUCUUCAAAUUCCCUUUUUUGCCACGUUCCUUUGAUAUUGGCAUUCCCUCAUUUUGGAUUAUCAGCUCCUGUCCUGGUUUGACGAUUUCUUUGAUUGGUACUGUGAGUUCCCUUCCGUCCAAAGUAGUCAAGCUGAUCUUAUUUUUGUGAUUGAUGAAAAGCCACAUGCUGUCUUCAAGAGGGAUGGAAAUGAUCUAGUCACGAAUCAGAAAAUAUCGUUACU
rnacentral:misc_RNA from 1 species